AAAGAAGCUCAAAGAAGCAGGAAUACUGUGCAAAGGAAAGGCUUUAAAUGUUUUCUAUGCAAGAAGCAUACAGAGAAAAAAGUAAUUUUCCUAUCUGGCAUUAAAGGUUCUGAGUCAAUAAUGACUUUAUUAUUUUCCUGAUUUCUUUUGACCAUUGUGAAGGACCAUGGCAGCUCUGGACAGCUUACUACCAGUGAGGUUAAUUUUUAUUGUUCAAGAGGAGAAAUCUGUGGCUUUGGGAAGGGUCAGGAAGGAGGCAGUGUGAUAUCAGGGAACCAACCAGACUGCUGCAAGGUCUCUUAAACCUGGGGUCCAUUGACAUUCCUGUGUUGGCACUGACAAGGACAUCCUUAUAUACUCUGAAAGAUUGCUGGCGGAAGGAUCAAAGGACCUUUGUUACUUUUUUGUGUGUGUGUGUGUUUGUGUUUUAAAGCCAAUAGAUACUCUCAUGAA